AGAGAAUCUAAAAAGGCUUCCUAUUUGUAAGGAAGUAGACAAGUCCUCAAGAGCACUUUGACUCUUCAGAUCCCUGCUAUGACCCCUGUGGGGCUCCCAGAUUAUGCAGAAGCAUCAUUGAAACAAAGUUCAGGGCAAAUCUGGAUGAAAUGAUUUUUCCUUUUUAACAGAAUACUCCUGUUAUUGUGCAGAUUCUUCUCUGCAAGAGCUUGCCAUUAAAAAUGCAUUUAGUAGUCUGAGACAUAUGGAAGAUAUAAUACAUCUGGUCCCUAAAGCCAAAUUGUGUCUUUUGGUCUUUUUUUCAUUCCUAAAUGUUCUCUGCUCUGAUGGUAGAUUAAACGGUUUGUAAUGCUUCCCAAUAUGUUGACAUUCAUGUAAAUCAACACGUAAUCUAUCAGCAUUGUAUCCUUUUGUCUAGUGAUAUUUCUAACUAUUGAUUUUUGUGGAGGAUUGAAUGCAGAAUACUGGGGAAGUGAUUACCUUAGCUAGAUGACUCCUGUAGUUUUAAAACAUGCAUCUUUCUUUCUGGAUUAAAAAUUCCUCAGAACAACAGCUGACAGUCUUUAUUAAAGAGAAAUAAAGACUGAAGGCAAGAAUACUUGCAGGAGGGUAGAAGGUACAUGAUGUGUUAUAAUGUUCCCUGUGCAAAGCAUUACUGAGGAGUAAAAGAGAAUCAUAAUGCAAAUCAUAAAUCUAAAAGAUUGUAGAGAAUCUACAGAAUUGCCAUAUGGAUAUAUACUUCAUCUUACCUGAGGCAAUCUAAUAAACAUAAUGCUGAGUAAUUAUAACAAUUCUGCUCUCAGAAGUGAUGAUAUCGAUUAUUGUCCUAAAUUUCUAAAACAUUUUACCACCUUUUGCUAACUAAGGAAAGCAAACUUGAAGCUAUUUGGGACUGCAGUGGCACAUUUGUGCUGUGCAAGAAGGCAUGAUGUGGAUCUGUCUGGAGGAAACUGCAUGUGGAAAAAAGGAUAUGAUAGUCGUUGGCUUUGCUCAGAUGGAGAGCCUGGACAUUGUCUUGCUGUGUACUAAAGAGGAGAUGACCUAGAACAUGCUCAUCCUGGAGCUGAGCAAUAGGAUGCAGGUGACGCACACAGAAUCAGAAUUGUCUCUUCAAGUAGCUGGAAGAAAACUGUAAUUCCAGUGAACCCCAGGGAGAAGGCAGUGACCAGUAGCAGAAGAUGGGGACGCAGAGCUGAAGUGCCAUUGCAUUCAGUGCCACAACCAUUGCUCUUCCAAUGCUUCUUUAGAGCUAUUGAACCUUUCCAAAUAACAUAAAAUGAACCACUGUUGUCAAAUUAGUAUGUAUGCCAAAAUGAAGAAAAUAAAAGUGUGCUAUUGGUUAAUACUGAGAGUAUU
rnacentral:lncRNA from 1 species